rnacentral:snoRNA from 1 species
AAGCACAGUUCAUUGUCUUUUUUUCUUUAUGUCAGGAAGAAAGAUAUUUCUGAUGUGCCCCGCUAACCUUUGGUGGUAAGUUAGCAGCAUGACCUAGUAGCCAUUGAUGUCAGUCACCUUCAGACUAAU